AAGUCGAGCGCUGGGGGUGCUCCCUUAGGGGAGAGCCCCUGGAGCGGCGGACGGGUGAGUAACACGUAGGCAACCUGCCUGUAAGAUCGGGAUAACUACCGGAAACGGUAGCUAAGACCGGAUAGCUGGUCUUUCCGCAUGGAGAGAUCAUGAAACACGGGGCAACCUGUGGCUUACAGAUGGGCCUGCGGCGCAUUAGCUAGUUGGUGGGGUAACGGCCCACCAAGGCGACGAUGCGUAACCGACCUGAGAGGGUGAUCGGCCACACUGGGACUGAGACACGGCCCAGACUCCUACGGGAGGCAGCAGUAGGGAAUCUUCCGCAAUGGGCGCAAGCCUGACGGAGCAACGCCGCGUGAGUGAUGAAGGUUUUCGGAUCGUAAAGCUCUGUUGCCAAGGAAGAACGCCUCGGAGAGUAACUGCUCUGAGGGUGACGGUACUUGAGAAGAAAGCCCCGGCUAACUACGUGCCAGCAGCCGCGGUAAUACGUAGGGGGCAAGCGUUGUCCGGAAUUAUUGGGCGUAAAGCGCGCGCAGGCGGUCUUUUAAGUUUGGUGUUUAAGCCCGGGGCUCAACCCCGGUUCGCACUGAAAACUGGGAGACUUGAGUGCAGGA
rnacentral:rRNA from 1 species